AGACCAUCUGUGAGAAAGCACAAGGCUGGGAGCCCAGAUUUCUUUUUCCUCUUUCCAAAAGCUCAGCUAACUUCCCAACAUUCAAUCAAGAACCUUCUUCUGGAAAGUAUCACGCAAUAACAGAGGAACUUGGAAGGGACUUCUGGAGAUCAUCGAGUCCAACCCCCUGCUGAAGCAGGUUCCCUACAGUACGUUGCACAGAAAAGUGUCCAGAUUUUGAAAGCAUGGUGUAAGAGUUUCAGGUGUAUGCAGUGAUCUUUUCUUGCUGAGAUCUCAGCCUUUUUUGACAGACAAUCCAUAAGAAUAAGACCAAGUAUGAAAAUCCACGUGGCACUUCUGUGAUGAAGCUCAGAAACUGAAUGAAAAUUCAAGAAAUGAAAGUUCUCAUGAACAGGUGAAGGGUAAGGUGAUGUCCAGGAAUGUCUUUGCUUCCUGGAUGAAUAAGGAAACAGAGAAAAGGUCUGAAACCACAAGAAAAUUGAUUUAAAAAACAAACAAACAGACAAACAAACAAAAAAAACUUGUGACAGUUCUGUCACAAUUCACAAAGAAACCAAACUGCAGAAAACAUUUGCCCCUAAAAAAAUAUUGUGUUAAUUUGACUUGGGAUAUCUGUAGAAAUGAUUGGAAUAAUAAUGCAAUGUCAAAUUAUCCUGGGGGAAUUUCUAUACCAGCUCUGCUGAAAACUUCUGUCAGAUCAUUAGAGGUUUUCAAAGACAAAUCUGACCUCUAUGCCUUAUACUGCAGUGCUAUAGAAAGCAAACUAGCUAGGCAAAACCAGAGUAGUACUUCAGAGCGAUACAUUUUGUACCCUCAUAAGCAGUGCAUUUUUCAUCAGGUGAGGUAGUAUCAAAGUGGUUUUCUUUUUUUUUUUUUUUUCUGUUACUCCUUGCUUUAUUUAUUUGUCUUGUUGUCUUCUAUUUUGAUCUUACAGUAGUACGUGUGUAGCGUGAGGUUUCUAACAGCUGUGUGAAACAGAAAUGUUUAGCUCUGCUAAAACUAAAAAAUAAAAAUCAGUCAGUUAGUAGAGUCCAUUAUUUUUUUUUCUUUGUUGGCAUGUGAUGUUCACAGGAAAAUUAUCACUUCCUUAUGAGAUGACACUCUGUUCUGUAAAAUACGGUGGCCCACAGUUUUCUACAGCACCACUUUAUGAUUACUGCAUCAGUGCAGCUUAAACUGAAAAAUCUUUCUUGCCUGAGUUCAGCCUGACCAGUUAGAAAGAUGUAAGAAAACAGAUUGCUUCACAGUGCCUAUUUCCUACAUAGUAGCUUGAAGGGAGACAGGUUGCGUGGGGAAAAACUCAAAUGCUAUGACUCUAGUGAACCAGGGCUUGAACUAUUGCUACUGGGGGCAGAACAGCCAGUGCACUAUGCCCAUGAAUGCUUCAGUGUCUUGUCUGGCACUGCAAACUAAAACCUGAGUAAGGACAUACAACACCUUGAAUACAAAGAGGACAAUCGGGCAUUUGUUUCUGACCUAUUGUUUUUGUUGUUGUUGUUGUUUUAAAAAAAGGUAUGUCUCUGGUUUUCAGCUCACAGAGAGAUGCCACAAAAUUCAACAUCCUCCUCUCCCUCUUUUAUCUUGUAGAAGCAAUUUGCAUUCUGUCAUGUUCUUUCACACAUGGUGUUGAAAACAAUUAAAAGAAAAUUGCACCCAUUUUGCUCAGUGUAGCAGGCUGAAAAUUUCAAAGAUAAGAAGCACUUCUCAGCAUGAAUAAACCGUGAAGUGCUUUUGAAAAUAAGGUUUUUAAUGAUAAUUGACAUUAAAACCUUUAUUUUCUAAUACAUUUCACAGUUUGUGCUUGUCAGGAAGUGCAUGUUUUCUUUGAAACUUUCUGCUUGCUUCAGUGUGCAGAAGUGAUACAUUUUCCUUCAGAUGAAAAAUAGUGAAGCAAUUUUUUCUUAUGUACAGAAAAAAAAGAUGAUUUUCCAAAGAAACUCUCUCAACCUUCCCUCACACACAUCCCAAAUUCAUAUUCAUCUGGGUAGCUGUAAUACACAGAGAACAAGCAGCUCAUAUAGAGUGCAGUGCAGCUUCUUUCAAGUGCUAAAGAGAGGAAAAUAAGUUCUUUACUCCAUAAAUCUAACUUAGACAGCAUGAAUAAAAAUAUGAUUCUUUCUCCUUCCUUCAGUCAACAGCCCUUCUUGCAGUGCUGUGAUUAACAAUGUACACUGAUGACUGAGUAACUGUAAAAUCAAUAGCAAAUGAAGAAAUCUUUUGAGAGAAGUUUUGCAAAUAAGAAUCAUGAUUUCUUUAUUUUUUUAAAACCCAAAAGUGAUCGCUUCUGUACAUAAUCUCAGCUGUAGGUAAAAAACACCUUUCACAAAAGAGACAACGUUAACGUGUUCUGUGCAUAACUAGGUUUGAUAUCACAAAUCAGAAAAACAGCUAUUUAAAUCUUUAGCAUUCUGAUAAAGCCUGAUGAAAUCUUUCAGAAUUUGGUUUAACUGAAAAAGAAGACAGCAAUAAGAAGGAAAUCUGCAACACUGUGGUGGUGACUAGAUAUUAGGACCUAUCAUCAUCAAAUAUAAAUAUCAUUGUGAAUAUAAUUAAAGGAAGAGUGGAUAGUUCUUUGAUUUCUUUGUCAAAAUACUCAAUGAUUUUAAUGAAUUAAGGAAAUACUUUGAGAAUGAGAACAUGGAAACAGUCACCCUUAUUCCCAAUGAAAGUUAAAAUAGCAUUUGCUUGAACAAACCUUCAUUUUCUGAGAUGGAAGACCUUAAAGAAAGUUGCUGAAUAAAUUGAACUAUAGGAAAUAUGGAUGUUGUGACAACAGUGAAAAAAAAUACUUGCUGAACAUUACUUAAAAAAUGACCUUUUCACAUUUCUGUAAGUCAGUGGUUUUGGUGUUUCACAAGAUUAAAACCGUCACUAAAAACAUAUUUAACUAGCCAAAAACAAAUGUUAGAUUUAAUUUGACUUUUUUUCACUCCAUUCCUACUCUCUUCCAACAAAAAGUCAAAAUAAGUGAACAGUGCUUAUCUCUUUAUUCUGCAUUUUCCUGCAAGACUUCAUUUGUACCUAAGGACUAAAUUUUUAUUUCUCUGAAGAAAAUAAGCAUUCUUAAUUUUAUUUUAUUUUAUUUAUUUAUUUUGUAUAAGUGUAACUAUAGCUUUUUAAUAGGUAGGUGUCCUACUUCUGGUAUUCAUUUGAUAUAUUAUAGCUUAGAGUACUGAGAAUCUUGGUGUCCUCAUUGAGUGAUAUCUUAAAUGUCUUAUCAGCAGUGUUUACGUCAAUUAACAUAAUAAUUUUCAAUUUUAUUACCUUUUGGCAUUCUCGAUGACUUUUAAGAAUUAAAAGCGAAGAUUAUUAGGCGUGCUAAAUAAGCAAAUGUUUUCCUCUACCAUGUAAGGAUUGUAAUAAUAUCAGCAAUCUACCCUGGAUAUAAGUGAUAAAAAUCAACCUUUAGUCUUUAGUAACUUUUUAGCUGCAUUCUAAAUGCAAAAGCAAGGCAUUGUUUGAUACUUCAUAGCACCUAGGCUCUUGAUUUACCUGAUUAUAUUUUAAUCCAGAUUUUCACACUUAAUUAUUGUUUAAUUUACUUUUGCUUGAUUUUUCAAAUAAUAAAUUUAAAAAGAAAAGUCUUGUCAAAAUAAAAAAUAAAGAC
ensembl:lncRNA